rnacentral:rRNA from 1 species
UGGGGAAUCUUGGCCAAUGGACGAAAGUCUGAGCCAGCGACACCGCGUGGGGGAUGACGGCCUUCGGGUUGUAAACCUCUUUUCUGGGGAAAGAAUAAGGACGGGAGGAAAUGCCCGCCCGAUGACGGUACUCCAGGAAUAAGCAUCGGCUAACUCUGUGCCAGCAGCCGCGGUAAGACAGAGGAUGCAAGCGUUAUCCGGAAUUACUGGGCGUAAAGGGCGUCUAGGCGGUUCGGUAAGUCGUUUGUGAAAUCCCUCGGCUCAACCGAGGAGGGUCUUGCGAUACUGCCGAGCUUGGGUGCAGGAGAGGAGGGUGGAACUCACAGAGUAGCGGUGGAAUGCGUAGAUACUGUGAGGUACCCCGAUGGCGAAGGCAACCCUCUGGCCUGCUACCGACGCUGAAGCGCGAAAGCGUGGGGAGCAAAGGGG